rnacentral:rRNA from 1 species
GACGGAGGGUGCUAGCGUUGUUCGGAUUUACUGGGCGUAAAGGGCGCGUAGGCGGCCCUGUCAGUCGGGUGUGAAAGCCCGGGGCUCAACCCCGGAACGGCACCCGAGACGGCAGGGCUGGAGACCGGGAGAGGAGGGUGGAAUAGCCAGUGUAGAGGUGAAAUGCGCAGAUAUCAGGAAGAACACCAAUGGCGAAGGCAGCUCUCUGGGACGGUACUGACGCUGAGACGCGAAAGCGUGGGGAGCGAACAGG